rnacentral:rRNA from 1 species
AUUGAACGCUGGCGGCAGGCCUAACACAUGCAAGUCGAGCGGAUGAAGGGAGCUUGCUCCUGGAUUCAGCGGCAGACGGGUGAGUAAUGCCUAGGAAUCUGCCUGGUAGUGGGGGAUAACGUCCGGAAACGGGCGCUAAUACCGCAUACGUCCUGAGGGAGAAAGUGGGGGAUCUUCGGACCUCACGCUAUCAGAUGAGCCUAGGUCGGAUUAGCUAGUUGGUGGGGUAAAGGCCUACCAAGGCGACGAUCCGUAACUGGUCUGAGAGGAUGAUCAGUCACACUGGAACUGAGACACGGUCCAGACUCCUACGGGAGGCAGCAAUGGGGAAUAUUGGACAAUGGGCGAAAGCCUGAUCCAUCCAUGCCGCGUGUGUGAAGAAGGUCUUCGGAUUGUAAAGCACUUUAAGUUGGGAGGAAGGGCAGUAAGUUAAUACCUUGCUGUUUUGACGUUACCAACAGAAUAAGCACCGGCUAACUUCGUG